rnacentral:lncRNA from 1 species
UAACCUUAAUCAUUUCCUCAAAAUUUCUGCCGCCUCUCUAUUUUUCUUCUCUCCUUUGUUCUUAAUCAAUUGUAAAAUGUCUUCUCCUACAUGAAAGAUCUGCUUUUUUUUCUACUCUUCACCUUCAUCGCAAUCUAACAGCUAUUUGGAGGUUCGAUUUCUGUUGAUUGAUUUCGAUAUAUUUGGGGUAAAAUCAUUGCAAUCUUGUGUUCCACAUAUAAGAUAUUUUAUCUAGGGUUUCCACACAAUCUAAAAACUAACCUGCUGCCGCAGAGCACCUCUUCAUCACUUUCAUUGGAGGUUUCAAAGACGGAGAUCCGCCACGUGUCUCGGAAAUGGAAGGAUCAAAUUCAACGCAGUCCUGAACGCACAAAGGUCUGGAUUGAGCCUAACAAACUUCGUAGAGUCGCCGUUGUUUACUACCUCUGCCGUAACGGCCAGCUUGAGCAUCCGCAUGUUAAUGUUUCUUUCUCCUGUUCUGAUGGACUGGAUCUUCGAGGCUAUGUGACUUGCUGUAACGAUGAUGCUUUCGGAGUGGACAAGAUCUGUCAUGCGGCGUGGCUCAAAGGCUCCGAUGCUCAUGCUUUCGGAGUGGACGAUCGAUGUUCCAGAUCUAUCUAAACCGAUGUCGGAGAUAUCGCCGCUGAUUCUCCGCAACUUGCUAUUUAAACUUUCUAAUUUACACGUGUAUCAACUAAUAGCAACUAAUUUUGGUUAACUUUUGGGCACUUAGUGAAUUAAUUUUAUUCCCAAGAGACCAAAAUACUCAAAUGUAAACUGUAACAUCUUUGUUGUGCAGUGUGCAUAUAAUGAUGUUGAGUGUUGAUGAAUCAGGUUGUAGCAAAGAAGCAAACAAUUUCAUACCUGAAUGAUUUACUUGAAAAGGCUGAGAAGCCUGUGUUGGUCGACUU